rnacentral:antisense_RNA from 1 species
AGCUGGGAGUCACAACUCAAGAGACUAUCCUACACCGAAGACUGGACAAAUGGUUUCAUGAAAUGUUUCCCAGCUUUGUUAGGCUGAUACCCAGAAACAGCUGCUCUUCACUUCUCCCAACUGAAAACUCCAGUUAUUAUCAUUAAAACACCACCCUGCAGAAGAUCCACCCGCUCUGAGGGUAAAAACCUGCAGAAGAUCCACCCGCUCUGAGGAGCUGCUCCCAUUAAUCCCAGAUCUACCCUGAGUUACCGCCUGGCUGGAUCCUGGAGAGCAUGAUCCCAUUAUGAAGGGAAAGCUUGUUGAGUCCUAACAGAUGUUUUGGAGUUUCCAGCAUGAAAGGCUAUAGAGGGAAACUCUUGGACAGUCUAGCUCUGCCACAGGUUCCCUAGCACCCAAGAAAAAUACUGACCUUCACAGGAGUCACAUGUCCAACCCAAGAGAAAAAGAUAUGAUCUAGAACUACCAGGGGCCAGAAAUUAGAUCUGCUUUUUUCUUGGCUGCAUCCAGAGAAAGUUACUACAGCUUUGCUAAAAUGGUGUGAACACGGAUGAUGGGCUUCUAGAAUCACAUAAGAGAAGUAGGUCAAUGGCUUACAACUGCUGGCCGGUGAUUAUUCUUUCACGAGUGCCCAGG